rnacentral:lncRNA from 1 species
UUUUAUGGCCUUAGUGCAAAUGGAUUCUUCAGCAGAUCAACUAACUUUCUAGCUGUUAGUUUACUGCUGCCUCAACUCUGUAAAUCUUACAUCUAAAGUAUAUAUACCAGGAGGCAACAUUACCGCUUUCUCAAAAGCCUUUUUCAUGAUUCUCAAAUUAAUCACAGAGUUUCUACAUUUGGAUUCUCUGCUUAAACGCUUCAACGUUGAAGGCUUGAAUCUAUUGAGAAUGCUCUGCAUGCUGCUGAUUAGCCCUUGCCACUGUCUGAAGAUGAAAUAAUAAGAAAAUGAGAUCCUAGUACAUUAAUCAAACAGAUUCAUUACGCAUAAUCUCUCAUGGGUGAUAUUUACCUGAAAUGCUGGCAGAUGUGGUGCAUGCAAAAGCUGGAUGUAUGGAGUGAAUUGCUUACUGAUAUUGAAACACUUUGUCUCACCUAUCUUGAUUGUGCAUCACCUAGCUUUUGCCUUUUGAUGGCUUGAUUUUCUGAAUCAGACUAAUAGUGUUAGCUACGUUUUUAACACUUGUUUCCCUGCAGUGAGAUACAUAACACAUAAAACCGCAUUACGAGAGGAACAUGAGACCAAAGUUAAGUUCAGACGGAUUCUUCAGCCUAGUUUGUUGCUUCUUAGGGUCCAUUGACUUUCCUCCUUAACAAUGAGAAGAAAGUAAAUCUCUAUAUAUCUCCAUCAUCUAGAGAAGCAGCAACAGCAAAACUAAAAAAUCUUCAUUAUCAUCAAGACCAUAUAUACAAACAAAAUUUAUAUGCAAGUAAGCAAAACAUUCAAAUGAGAGAUCACUUACAGUGCAAGAAGAGGCUUUUACCAUCGUUAGGUCAUAAUCAAGCUUUUGUCUUUUUUAUCGCUUUGAUUUUCCUGAAUCAGAUUGGUAGUGUUAUUUUGAAUACUUGUUUCCGUCAAAGAAUCAAGACAUUAAAGAACCUAAUCAACACAUUUAAGUCAAUGAUGAGGUUUAAAGAGUUUCAGGCAUGUAGUGAGAUCAUGCUGAACUUUUAACCAUUAAGCUUACUUGUCUUGAUUUUGAAUCAUCUAGCUUUGCCUUUUGAUAGCUUCAUUUUCCUGAAUGAAUUUGGCAGAGCUAGCUAUGUUUUUAACACUAUUUUCCCUGCAGUGAGGCAAUAAAGGCCCAAAAAAAAAAACAUUACUAAAAGUAGGAACGUGAAACCAGAUUUAUGUAUCAAAAUGGUUAUUGGUUAUUAAUUAUGAAUGUGAGCUAC